rnacentral:rRNA from 1 species
CCUACGGGAGGCAGCAGUGGGGAAUAUUGCACAAUGGGGGAAACCCUGAUGCAGCGACGCCGCGUGAGUGAAGAAGUAUUUCUGUAUGUAAAGCUCUAUCAGCAGGGAAGAAGUACGCCGGUACCUGACUCAGAAGCCCCGGCUAACUACGUGCCACCAGCCGCGGUACUACGUAGGGGGCAAGCGUUAUCCGGAUUUACUGGGUGUAAAGGGAGCGUAGACGGCUGUGCAAGUCUGAAGGGAAAGCCCAGGGCUCAAACCUGGGACUGCUUUGGAAACUGGGGAGCUAGAGAGCGGGAGAGGUAAGUGGAAUUCCUAGUGUAGCGGUGAAAUGCGUAGAUAUUAGGAGGAACACCAGUGGCGAAGGCGGCUUACUGGACAGUAACUGACGUUGAGGCUCGAAAGCGUGGGGAGCAAACAGGAUUAGAUACCCUUGUAGUC